CACGUAGGGCGCAAGCGUUGUCCGGAAUUAUUGGGCGUAAAGAGCUCGUAGGCGGUCUGUUGCGUCCGCUGUGAAAACUCGGGGCUUAACCCCGAGCCUGCAGUGGAUACGGGCAGACUAGAGGUAGGUAGGGGAGAAUGGAAUUCCCGGUGUAGCGGUGAAAUGCGCAGAUAUCGGGAGGAACACCAGUGGCGAAGGCGGUUCUCUGGGCAUUAACUGACGCUGAGGAGCGAAAGCGUGGGGAGCGAACAGG
rnacentral:rRNA from 1 species